rnacentral:tRNA from 1 species
CAAGAAGUAGUUUAGUUAGAAUACCA